AACCCAUAUUACAGAGCCAAGUGCAUCAAUAGAACAAGGCGGCAACCAUUUUUGAUGCUAAAACGUGAUCAGAAUUUAAAAAAUUAAAUAUUAAAACUACGAAAAAUGGACAUUGUGACGUUGUUUUGUGAUAAAAAACAUCAAGAAGGUCAAGAAGGAACUGGAGAACAUCUCCUAAAGAGCGACAUUGUAAAGGAUGAGUACGAUGAGUACAAAAUUCAAGAAGAUCAAUCAUCAUUCAUCUUAAUCAACAACAGAGAUAUCGCGGAAUCCCUUCCCGAUGAUAACUCACAGAAGACAAUAAAAUUUGAAUCUUUGACAAAUCCAAGGAAGGAAAACAAAGAAAUCGACCAAGAUAAACCGUCUUCCUUCAAUAUCAUUUGCAAUAUCUGCCAGGAAGAAUUGAUGAACAGAGAAAUGAUUUUGUAUCAUAGAAAAAUUCACGGCUUAGAUCCAAUCAUUUGUUCUAUUUGCCGGAAAACGUUCAAAGAUUUCUUUCAUCUUGAACAGCAUAGAAAUCAAGGAAAUCAAUGUGAAGAACCUAACUUUGAUGAAUCGAGCCUACAGCAAUGCAGUUCGAAUAAUGAAAAGAUAGAGUCCGAGGAAGAGCCUAUGGAUACUUCACCAGGUCCGGAAGAUUAUUCAUUUGAGUGCCCCCUUUGUACGGCAGUUUUUUGGCAAACUGAAAACUUCGACAGACACAUGAAUUGGAGCCAUUUUGUUGAUUAGGAUAUUUGAAAAAAAAAUAUCUUGAUUUUGAUAAAAAAAUUAAAAUCAAAAAGCAUUUUAGCGUAAAGAAAAUAUUUAUUUUAAUCACUUCUCUUGCAAAAUGAAAUCAAGUUUUGCAUUAAUAAUAAAAAAUAAAAGAUUUUAA